UCGUGUUCCGAAGCGUUUGCUUGACGUCCGAUCGGGUCAAGUAGUGACAUCGUCAAAGUUGAUCAAAAUUCAUACAUUACGAGUAUAAUUUUUUCCAAAAAUGUCCUUAGAGUUAUUGAGUGUUCAUUUUUAUGAAAACUGUAACUUGUUAUUUACAUAUCUAGUUGCAAAUGUUCAGUAAAAAACAUUCGACUAUUUACCACAAUAACCAAUUGCACUUAAAAAUUUCAAAUUUCGACACAGAUGAUCUUAAAAUAUUGUUGAAGGAAUGAACAACAAUUCAUGGUAAUUUCCCUCAGACUAAGAUGAUAAACACUCGUGGAGCAAGAAAAAGAUUAGUUUAUCUUUUAUUACUAUUUGUCCUAUACUACAAUGAACAAAUCUCGGCUGAUGUUGAUGAAAAAAUCAACAAAGGAAGCCAUUCAAAGUACAACAAAAGGCAGUUAAAAGUACACCACAAACGUCAUUUGUCUAAAACUUUGUCAGCAGGUGCAGGCUACCACUUGGGAAACGAUCUUAUUAAUGAUGUGGACAGUUCCAAUAACAUGUUUAUGACCGAAAAUGGGACAAUCGUGACGUCACAAAUUGGUGGAACCGCUAUUUUGCCCUGUGCCACAACCAAAUCUGGCAUAGCCACCGUUUCGUGGAUAAGAAGAAUUGAUUACACAAUUCUUACAAUUGGAUCAAGAAGUUAUAGCAGCGAUAAGAGAUUCUAUGUUGAUCAUACGAGACACUUGAAGACGUGGAAUUUAGAAAUAACACCAGUAGAAGAAUCUGAUGCAGGCCUUUAUGAAUGUCGUAUCGCUACACACCCAACAACAAGCAUAUUUAUUCAUCUAAAAGUUACAGUGGCCAAAGCAGAAAUUUUAGGUUCUCCAGAUUUAUACAUAAUGAGUGGUAGUAGCUUAAGGCUUGUUUGUCGUCUUCGAGAAUCUACACAAGCUCCUUCGUUCGUCUUUUGGUACCAUUCAGACAGAAUGAUAAACUUCGAUACGGAUCGAGGACUCAUUGUUCAUAUUAAUAGCACUGAAAGCGAUCUAAUUAUGCCUUAUACAAAUACUUCAGACAGUGGUAAUUACACCUGUCAACCACAAAAUAUACAACCUGCUACGAUUCACGUGCAUGUGUUGCAAUCUGAAGCACCAGCCGCCAUGCAACAUGGUGUUCGUAGUACUACCUCUGGGUCAUUUGCAGUAUCCAAUUGUGCGUUAUUCACUUUAACAUACAUGGCAAUGCAAAUGUUAAGCUAAAAUGGACUGAUUAAAAUGUAAAUAGUCUUUUUUUAAAUUUAAAGUAUGUCAUACAGAUUAAAUCUAGGUUAUGUAUAAAAUGUAUGUAUGUUAAUUUUUAAUACGAUGUAACACAACACGCUCAUUAUUUAGCUUUGGGAGUUAUUAUCGAGUAAAAAAUUAUUUAUUGUUGAAUUGAAGUUAAUUUAUUUAAUUUAUGUAUAUCAGUCUGAAUAAGUAAGAACUUUACCUCAUUUUUUCAUUAAAUAAAGAUUUUUUCAUAAAAAUGUAUUCAAUUAAAUUAGAAUUAUUUUUAUGAAACAUAGUAAAUAUUAAUUUCAUUGUAAGAGUAAAUUAUUAUUUCUUAGUGUAGUUUUUAAAGGUAAUAUUCAAAAGUUAAAUUGGAACCUAUUAUUUUUUUACUAUUAAAUACGGAAUGAAUAAACUAAAAUUUUAACCGGUUUAAAACCAGUUUUGCAAUAUUAAUUUUUGAGAAGGUGGCAUUUUAAAUUUAGAAAAAAAUGAGGUGGUGUUUACCAUGACGAAUAUAUAACAAUUUUACUUCGCUCCGCAUUCCGCUCCCGUAUAAAUAAAAACUAUAUUUCAUUAAUUAAUUUUUUUUAGUUCAGUGAUUUUCUACAUUCAUGAAGUAUUUUUAUAUUUAUUCCUUAUACUUCAUAAGAAUAUCAACUUUAAUUUUUCAACCACAUAAUUAACUAACUUAUUUAUUAGAUAGUAAUCUAAUUAAGAAAAUUUUUGAUAAUGGACGAUAGCAACUUUUGAAAAGUGAGUGGUACUAGUUGUAUAGCUAAAGAUUUUUCAUCCUAGGUAUAAACAUUUCAAUAACUUCUGAAAUACUGGUUUAGAAGUUUUUAUUAAUCAGUCAUUUUUCUAAUUAUAUAAUUAUCUAUAAAAUAAACUAGUUAAUUAUGUAAUUUGCAAAUAAAAAAAAAAAAAAUUGCACCCUUAAAGGAUGAUUAUAAUAAAUACUUUAUGAUUGUUAAAUUGAGAAAAACAAAUAAAUAAAAGAAUCUAGAUAGUAAAUUAUUAAUAUUAUUUUUCGAUCAAGUCGUUCAACAUACUAUACAGGAAUUAUCUUGUAUAGUGGUGUAAUUCAACCUUAAGGUGGCCUUUUCAAAUUCAAUAUUUUUUAUAUUAAAAAGCUAAUACAUUUUGAUAACAUUUUUCAUACAAAUUUCUAAAUGUUUCCUUAAAUUUUAUUUGAAAAAAUCUUGAAGAGCCACAAAACCUCGGAGCAACAAAGUAUCACUUUGCCAGCUUUUUUAAUGUUUCGCCACUGGGUUAAUAUUAAAAACUAUUAAAUAGUUACAAUAUAAUUUGCAAUUAAUAACUAUUAUUUCAACAGUUCUGCUUUCAAAAAUAUUGUAAUAGUACUAUAAAGCAAACAGACAGAUAUAAGAAUAUAAAUAAGUUUGCCCAUUAUCAUAUUGAAUAUUAUAUAAUUGUGUCUGGAAUAGAAAAUUUAAAUACUAUAAAUUAACUACACUGAUAGUUAAUGUCAAAAUGUUCAUAAAUCAACAGAAAUGACUCCAACGGCAUAAAUUAAUGCCAUCAAAAUAAACUAAUGACAUUUUAUAAUGAAUGUACUUUACAAUUAUUUAAUAUGAUAUGACUUAAUUACAAAGUUAAUUUUGAAGUAUAAAAAUUGUCUCGUUGAAAUUUUAUGGUAGGUUUUUACUUAAUUUCAAAGUACAUAUGCAUAAAAUAAUUUUUUUGUGAAUAUAAAUUAACAAUUAUGUAAAACUACUUAUGUUUGUUAUUAUGAUUGACAAAUAUUGAAUAAUUUUGUUUGUUAAAAUUAUUAAAGUCAGUUAAACUUACUCAUUAUUGUAAAUCAAGUAUAAAUAAUUUAUUACACUGGAAAUUUACUAGUU